rnacentral:rRNA from 1 species
UGGGGAAUCUUCCGCAAUGGACGAAAGUCUGACGGAGCAACGCCGCGUGUAUGAUGAAGGUCUUCGGAUUGUAAAGUACUGUCAUUGGGGAAGAACGGUUUUCUUGAAAAGAUUGAGAAGACAUGACGGUACCCAAGGAGGAAGCCCCGGCUAACUACGUGCCAGCAGCCGCGGUAAUACGUAGGGGGCAAGCGUUGUCCGGAAUUAUUGGGCGUAAAGGGCGCGUAGGCGGGCCUUUAAGUCCGGUGUGAAAGAUCAGGGCUCAACCCUGAGAGUGCAUCGGAAACUGGAGGCCUUGAGGACAGGAGAGGACAGUGGAAUUCCACGUGUAGCGGUGAAAUGCGUAGAUAUGUGGAGGAACACCAGUGGCGAAGGCGACUUUCUGGACUGUAACUGACGCUGAGGCGCGAAAGCGUGGGGAGCAAACA